UAUUUUUGACUAUGGUGGAAACCCUGAUCCAUCCAUCCCGCGUGUAAGAUAAAGGCCUUCGGGUUGUAAAGUACUUUUGGCAGAGAAGAAAAGGUAUCUCCUAAUACGAGAUACUGCUGACGGUAUCUUCAGAAUAAGCACCGGCUCACUCAGUGCCAGCAGCCGCGGUAAUACGUAGGGUUCAAGCGUUAAUCGGAAUUACUGGGCGUAAAGCGUGUGUAGGCGGGUCGGAAAGAAAGAUGUGAAAUCCCAGGGCUCAACCUUGGAACUGCAUUUUUAACUGCCGAGCUAGAGUAUGUCAGAGGGGGGUAGAAUUCCACGUGUAGCAGUGAAAUGCGUAGAUAUGUGGAGGAAGACCGAUGGCGAAGGCAGCCCCCUGGGAUAAUACUGACGCUCAGACACGAAAGCGUGGGGAGCAAACA
rnacentral:rRNA from 1 species